CCUUUGAUCGGAGCGAGGCGAACCCCGCCGGGCACCGGCACCGGCACCGCCGCACCCCCGGGCACCGACUCCGGGACCCCCCCCAGGGCAUCGGGACACCGGUACCGGGACAUCAUCGGCACCGGGACAUCCCCCCCCCCGGGCACCGGGACAUUUCGGGACAUCGAUCCCGGGACACCCCCGGGCAUCGGGGCGCUUUGGGACAUCGGCACCGGGACGCACCGGGACGCACCGGGACACCGGCUCCGGGACACCCCCGAGCACCGGGACGCCCCCGAGCACCGGGACAGCAGCAGCAGCCCCGAGAAGCAGCCCCGGGACCCCGUCCCCCCCCCCUUUUUUUCCUCCUCUUCUCCACCCCCAGCCCCGAGCCACCGCCGCGCAGCGCCCCGGGAGCGGCACCGGGACAUCGCGCACCGGCACCGGAGCGACCCCGGGCACCGGCACCGAAAAAAAAACCCCGGUACCGGCACCGAGACACCCCUGAGAACCGGGAUCGGAGUUUCCCCGAGCUCAGGGACCGAGGCAGCCCCCGGGUACCGGCAGCGAAGCUCCCCCCCGGGCACCCACCGCCGGGCUGCGAUGCUUCCCGGUGCGGGUCCCCUCGCCUUCCUCCUCCGGUGCCUUCUGCUCCUCUUCGCCUCCGAGAGCCGAGCCCGGGCUCGGCCGGAUAUGUUCUGUGAUUUCAACGGCAAGAAGUACAGCCCAGGAGAGAGCUGGCACCCCUACCUGGAGCCCCAGGGGCUGAUGUACUGCAUCCGCUGCAGCUGCUCCGAGAACGGGAACACCAGGUGCUAUCGGAUCCAGUGCCCAGCUCUGCAGUGCGCCAGCCCCGUCACGGACCCGCAGCAGUGCUGCCCGCGGUGUCUCGAGCCAAACUCUCCCUCUGGGCUCCGGGCUCCUGCCAGGUCCUGCCAGUACAAUGGGACGACGUACCAGCAGGGCGAGAUGUUCACCACCAGCGAGCUCUUCCCCAGCCGCCAGCCCAACCAGUGUGUGCAGUGCAGCUGCUCCGAAGGCCAGAUUUACUGCGGCUUGGUGACCUGCCCGGAGCUGCUGUGCUCCUCUCCCCUCACGGUGCCGGACUCCUGCUGCCAGGUCUGCAAAGAUGGCUCAUACGAGAAGUCCGCGGAGGAGGAGCCCCUGCAGUUAAACAGAGGUGUUAGGCACUCGCAAGACCAGUGCUCGGGGGAAGCGAUGGGCAGGAAGCCCCUUGGAGCCACGGCGUCCACCGUUCUCAGCUCUUCCCUGGAGUUCAUUCCCAGGAGCUUCAAACCCAAGGGAGGAGGUGGCACCACCGUGAAGAUCGUCUUGAAGGAGAAGCACAAGAAAGCUUGCGUUUACAACGGGAAGACCUACUCCCACGGGGAAGUGUGGCACCCUGUCUUCAGGCUCUACGGCCUCCUGCCCUGCAUCCUGUGCACGUGCAGGGACGGUGUCCAGGACUGCCAGAAGAUCUCGUGCCCCAAGGAGUAUCCCUGCGACUACCCCGAGAAAGUGGACGGGAAAUGCUGUAAAAUAUGUCCAGAAACCCGAGUCAAACCCACCGACGAAAUCGUCACUGCCCAAUGCGGCAAGAACCCCAACCGCGUCCUGGUGUACAUGUUCGUGCCACCGAGCUCCGAGACCUCCAAGGAGGUCCUGAGGACGAUCGCAAUCGAGAAGGAGCCCUCUGAAGAGGUGGAAAUCUACAACUGGAAGCUGAUUAAAGAGGGAAGUGUUACUAUUGGGAAAGAGCAUGAGCUCAGGCACAUAUGGAUUCCACCUCGCCAUGGUCCAUCACUCUACCAACAGAGCAGCGUGUGUGGAGAAAAAAAGCCCGCGAGGCACGCCUGGAGCCCGGCCAGCUGCCUUUGUACCAAACCUACGUGGCCUCCUCCGUUCCUGUGCUCCACGGGGCAGGAUUCAGCAGGAGAAGCUGGCACAAAUGCCCAGCCCCGAGCUUUGCUCAGCUCGCACGGGUCGUGGUGGGGGCUCCUCUGGAUUUUUAGGGGUCUGGAUGGCUUGGGGGGGUUUGAAACUUGACUUUCUGAUGUUUUGGAGAAGGAAUUAGAAGGCAAAAAAAGGAAUGGAUGGGAUCGGCGUGGUUCAGAGGCUGUGCUGUCUGCUUCCUCGUGGAUGCCUGGCUGUACGUGGAGGUGCAAAACCCCAAGGACCUCUUCCCCUGUGCAUUAGGCAACCCCCAAAAAAUUCCUUUCUCUCCUGAAACCCUGCAGCUCCAGGACCCCCAGCGAUCCCCUCCAUCUCACCACACCGGUGUGCCCUCACGCCUGGUGCCUGCUUGAAGGUCUCCUGCCACGGAAACUCUGGGAUCCAGAGCCACAAACCCCUUUCUGUAGGGAAAGCUUCUCCUGACACGCAGCCUCCCUGCAGCUCCAGCUCUUCCCAUUCGCUCUGGGUACAAAGCAGCCUCCUUUUCCCCUGAUGAAUUUGAAGAUGCCACCAGCUCCUGCCUGUGCCCUCUCCAUUUUUUUCAGUCUUCCCUUGAUGUCAGCAAUUUCUGGUCCUUAGGUCCUUCCCAUAGCUCUGUUCUGGGCUCCCUCUGUGUCUUUCUUAAGUGCAGAGCCCAAAUCAGAGCGCAGGGCUCUGCAUCAAAGCUCUCCCCUCUGCGUCCUGCUGGUUUGGGUCUCCUACACACCUGCACCCACGUCUCCAUCCACCUGCUGAUGCUCUCGGCUCCGUGUUCUCCCUGGGAGAAUUUUGGAGGUCUGUAGUGCAUGGACAUGGCUUGUACCAGCACAAUUUGGGAGUGACGGACGCUGCCUGGUGUUCCUCUAAGGCUGAACCCCGUAGAAAUGCCCACUUUGUUCAUAAUUUAGCAAAUCCUCACACCAUUUUCCUGAGACUUCUCUCCCAGCCUGGCACAACGCGCCGCAUUUCUGCAGCCACGGUGGUCCCCGCGUGGAACAACCGGUCCCAUCCACGCAUUUUGGGACGGGCAGAACACCUCUGUGGAAGAGCCUCUCUCUCCUUUGCAUCUGCAAAAUUAGCAAGGAUGGAUUGCUGCCUCUGGUCAUUAAUUCAUUCCUCGUGCUCCCUGGUACUGGGAUCUGUCUGGGUUUGGUCUGGAGAGCACCAAGAAGGGUGGCAAGUGCUGGACAGCCCCGGUGCCUCUCCCCAUCUCAUCCCAUAAAAGCCUGGGUCUUUGGGCAGCUUCUGCUGGCUGUGAAAUGGCACCGACCAGCCAUCACCACCCCAAAAUUCUCUCGUUCUUCACCAGCUCCAUCCCGUGCUGGCUUUUCCGUGGCCGGUGGGCUUUUCAGAUCCUCACCACCUCGCACCCUCCGUGCUCCACGUCCUCAUUCCUCCGCAGCUCCCCAGCUCCUGGCAUUUGUCAGCAGUGACCAUCAAGGUCUCAGCCAGCUCUCCGGGGGCUCUCGGGUGAAAAUUAUCUCGGUCGGUUGAUUAAAAGAUGUUUAUCUCCCGUGGCUUUUGUUUAAAAUAGCCUCCCGGUUACUAAUGUACUGGAAAGUGCUUCAUCAGCCACGGGGGCUACAAGCACACCCUCCUGCUCCUUUCUAAGUAUAGACCGGGAGGAUUUAUUGAACAAUUCUGCCUUCCUUGCGUCAUUAAGAGUUUUAUUAUCCCCAUCCAGUACCUUCUUUUCUUACUGGUAGGACUCCUUUAUCCUGACCCACUCGAAGGGCUUAUUAAUAGCCCGGCCAGCCGCAUAUUUCUCCCCCUGCACUUUAACUUCCUGUGCUCAUUUUCCACAGCCCGCAACAUCUCGUUUUUACGCAUCGCUUCCCAGUCGUUACGUGCCCUUUCCGUGCGUAAUUGCUGCUGGGAAGGGAGAGGAAAAAUCUCUCACCUAAACAAGGGGACCACGCCGCCCCCGGAGAGAUGCUGGGCGCACGGGAAGAGGCUGGGCGAGACGCGGGGAAGGGGGGACCAGGCAUACCUGCCCCCCUUCGUCACGCCCGCGGGCGAGGAGGAAUAUCACGAGCCCUAAUCCCACGGGAAGGUCGCUUCUGUUGCUAAAUUCACGCUCUGCUUUGCUCGGGUCAGAGCUCUGAAUCAGUCACAACCCCCCCUUAACGGGACGGUGCUGGCGCGGGCAGAACCAUUUGGCUGCGCUGAGGGAUAUUUCACUUGAUCCAGACCAAGAAGAUCAGCAAGCAGGAAUUCAAGCAAGAAGCACAAAACUUCAGGCUGAUCACCAGGACGGACGAAGGUCACUGGAACAUCUUCCGAGCCCAGACGUCGGAGCUGAAGAUGACAG